UGGGAUACACUGGGAACUAAGCUGUGAAC
rnacentral:piRNA from 1 species